UAAUUAUGUACAUAAAUGUAAAUUAAAUAUAAAUGUAUAGUUUGACCAGUGUCAAGGAAACUUAAUAAAUCACAUCAACUUUUUUAUAAUAAAAUAAAAUAACUUUUUUGUUUUUAUGAUAUUUACAUAUUUGGUUAUUCAAUGUUUGGUUACUUUAAUAAAUUUACUUUAAAUCAUUACCGAACUUCUCAUUGACAUAUCAAAAUUGCCGCGAAAUCUUAACGGUUUUCGUUACCUUGCCAUUCACAAAAACCACUAAUACUCACUUCUAUAAAUUUGUGACAACCACAACAGCAUCGGGCACCCCCUUCUGGUUACAAAUUAAUUCAUCUUUACACUGAGAUUGGCAAAAAAGAGAGAUGGCUAAUUGGGUGCAAAGCUGGCUUCGUCUACGAACCGGGCCAGAUCCACUUAAUACAGAAGACGAUUUCGAUGAAGACUUUGUUCAACAACAAGUUGAAAGAACAGUCGGAAGUAACCAGGUGGCCAGUUUUGGGUAUAUAAAUGAAAAUGAGGCUGCAGCAUUAAAGGAGGCACAAG